rnacentral:rRNA from 1 species
CCUAACUUGUACUGAAAAACUAUUAUGUAAUACUAAUUCAAAAUACAACUUCAACAACGGAUCUCUUGGCUCUCGCAUCGAUGAAGAACGCAGCGAAAUGCGAUACGUAAUGUGAAUUGCAGAAUUCAGUGAAUCAUCGAAUCUUUGAACGCACAUUGCACUCUCUGGUAUUCCGGAGAGUAUGCUUGUUUGAGUAUCAGUAAACACCUCAAGUCUCGACAUUCGUGUUGAGAAUUGGACUUGAGCAAUCCCAACUCUUUGCAAAAAGGGGCGGGUUGCUUGAAAUGCAGGUGCAGCUGGACAUUCUUCUGAGCUAAAAGCAUAUUUAUUUAGUCCCGUCAAACGGAUUAUUACUUUUGCUCUAGCUAACAUAAAGGUAGAAUGUGCUAUAUGCUGACUGAUGCAGGAUUACCAAGUUUCCGUCAAAAGAAACUUGUAAACUCGAUCUCAAAUCAAGUAAGACUACCCGCUGAACUUAA